GCAUAGCCGUAAACAUUGUAUUACCUGCCCGCAUAUCCGCCAGGGAACUACAAGCACUAGCUUAAAACCCAAAGGACUUGGCGGUGCUUUACACCCACCUAGAGGAGCCUGUUCUAGAACCGAUAACCCCCGUUAAACCUCACCCUCUCUUGUUCCGCCCGCCUAUAUACCGCCGUCGUCAGCCUACCCUUUGAAGGUUUUAUAGUGAGCAAAAUUGGUAUAGCCCAAAACGUCAGGUCGAGGUGUAGUAUAUGAGAGGGGAAGAAAUGGGCUACAUUCAUCAAAAGGUGAAUACGAACGAUUAAUUGAAAAAUAAAUCUGAAGGAGGAUUUAGUAGUAAGAAGGAAAUAGAGAGUCCCUCUGAACAUGGCACUGAAGCACG
rnacentral:rRNA from 1 species